rnacentral:rRNA from 1 species
AUUGAACGCUGGCGGCAUGCCUUACACAUGCAAGUCGAACGGUAACAGGUCUUCGGAUGCUGACGAGUGGCGAACGGGUGAGUAAUAUAUCGGAACGUGCCCAGUCGUGGGGGAUAACGCAGCGAAAGCUGUGCUAAUACCGCAUACGAUCUAUGGAUGAAAGCGGGGGAUCGCAAGACCUCGCGCGAUUGGAGCGGCCGAUAUCAGAUUAGGUAGUUGGUGGGGUAAAGGCCACCAAGCCAACGAUCUGUAGCUGGUCUGAGAGGACGGCCAGCCACACUGGAACUGAGACACGGUCCAGACUCCUACGGGAGGCAGCAGUGGGGAAUUUGGACAAUGGGCGCAAGCCUGAUCCAGCAAUGCCGCGUGCAGGAUGAAGGCCUUCGGGUUGUAAACUGCUUUUGUACGGAACGAAAAGGCUCUGGUUAAUACCUGGGGCUCAUGACGGUACCGUAAGAAUAAGCACCGGCGUAACUACGUGCCAGA